GAUGAACGCUGGCGGCGUGCCUAAUACAUGCAAGUCGAGCGAACAGACGAGGAGCUUGCUCCUCUGACGUUAGCGGCGGACGGGUGAGUAACACGUGGAUACCCUACCUAUAAGACUGGGAUAACUUCGGGAAACCGGAGCUAAUACCGGAUAAUAUAUUGAACCGCAUGGUUCAAUAGUGAAAGACGGUUUUGCUGUCACUUAUAGAUGGAUCCGCGCCGCAUUAGCGAGUUGGUAAGGUAACGGCUUACCAAGGCAACGAUGCGUAGCCGACCUGAGAGGGUGAUCGGCCACCCUGGAACUGAGACACGGUCCAGACUCCUACGGGAGGCAGCAGUAGGGAAUCUUCCGCAAUGGGCGAAAGCUUGACGGAGCAACGCCGCGUGAGUGAUGAAGGUCUUCGGAUCGUAAAACUCUGUUAUUAGGGAAGAACAAAUGUGUAAGUAACUAUGCACGUCUUGACGGUACCUAAUCAGAAAGCCACGGCUAACUACGUG
rnacentral:rRNA from 1 species